CAAAACAGUAGUAACACGUUCAGCGACCCCCAAACCUGAUUUCAAGCCGAACAGCUAAAUACCCAGUAUCCAACCCGAUUCAGACCUAUUUCAACCCCUACCCGACAAGACCUGAUUAACAGCUUCAACAUAAUAGCCGAUCAGCAACACAGCCAACGAUGGUGACUCGAGUUCGACCCGAAUCUGACCCAAAAAAGCCCCAACAGCUCGUGUCUCAUCCAAACGUAUAUUUCUUUCCACCCUCACAUGAUUAACAUGAUUUUUAGUACUAAAUCAGCCUCAAAACUUCUAAAAUUUUGCUAAGUGGCAGCCAAGUCAAUUUUCAAAGAAUAUUCCCCAAGAAAUCCAUUGGGAAUUUGUUGAUUUCAUACUACGAAAAUACAAGUGCGUCCAAUUUCUAUUGGUUGGGGAAAAAUCCAUUUUCCCCAAUAUUCACCAAAAAUUGAAUUUUCUUGCAAAAACCCAAAAAAAAAUCAGGGGGAAAUGGAAGAGAUUUUUUGUUUCUAUCCAAAUUUUGAAAAAAUCUUAGUUUAAAAAUCCCAAUUUACCAUUUAAUUUCCCUUGAUCCUACAUCGUUCAAACCUGAAGGAGGACCCUCAAUUAUUCUCUACAUAAGAGCUCACAGUUGAGCAGGGGGGUCCGCAAAAAAAAAGGAGGGAAAUUUUAUUUUGAUAGCAAAAACGAGAGAAAAAAAGGGAAAAAGCUGGUCGUGAGAAUAGAAGAAAAUUUUCUUCGGUAAAAAAUGUAGGAAAGGUAGUCAGCUAGUCAAGAUUUUCAUAGCGGCAUUGAAUUUUUUUGGUGGUGGUGAAGUCCAAAGGAGCUCGAAGUUCUAUUUUUCUGCUCCCGAACGGCUGAAAAUUUUGAUCGAAAAAAGAGAAAAAUCAUGCGACCCUAUCAAGGAAUGAAGUGGAUCAGAUGAUGAUAAUCAAUUGCUAUAUUGGCUAAAAAUUUAAGGUUAUGCGUUCAAUUAUAAUUCGUAGGAAUUAUAUACGACACUAAACUGAUGAUAUGUAUUUUCUUAUUUGCUUUGGACUUAAAGCUGUUCUUCUUCAUUUUCUUUCUCCAUGAAUUACAAGCAGAAGAAGAAAAAUUAAUUUUUGAAAAAGAAAGGCGAAGAAAAGACUAUCAUUGCCAUGUCCAAAGAAUCACACUUACACAUUGAUAAUUUUUGUUUCUGCAAAUUUCUAAACUUUGUUUUCUAUAAUUUUCAUUUUCA